AAGAGAGGUGCAACGGCCACGCGGGACUCUGCAAACUCAAAUUUAACAAAGUAACAUUUCCUGGAACUCACAACUCAGGGUCGAAUAGGGUCAUGAAGUACGGUAUUGGUAUUCCCGCUUUAUCCUGCUUAUACAGGAACCAAGAUUACACUUUCACAGCCCAAUUGGAUUUUGGAAUUCGAUUUUUCGACAUUGACACUCGUGCCAAGGGAAAUACCGCUUACGCGAGUCACAACACAGCUUACGGACGAAAAUUAUGGGAGAUUAUACGAGACAUUGACAGCUGGUUGAAUAAUCCAUCGCACAGGAACGAGGUUAUUGCCAUUCGAUUCCAGGACACCACAAUGCCCUCCGGCUUCGACAGGUUCAUCCCCAUCUUCAGAGAAUACUUUACUGGAGCAAACGGGAAAGUCAGCAGCAAUGCGAUGAUGGGUUGGCCGACUCUGGGAGAAGCAGUGGCACAAAAUAAGCGCGUGUUCAUUUUUAUGGUGGACAAGCUUUGUAACAGCAACUGUCGGAGGCGUUACCCCU